rnacentral:rRNA from 1 species
ACUCCUACGGGAGGCAGCAGUGGGGAAUAUUGCACAAUGGGCGCAAGCCUGAUGCAGCCAUGCCGCGUGUGUGAAGAAGGCCUUCGGGUUGUAAAGCACUUUCAGCGGGGAGGAAGGGUCACUAGUUAAUACCUAGUGGCAUUGACGUUACUCGCAGAAGAAGCACCGGCUAACUCCGUGCCAGCAGCCGCGGUAAUACA